CACAGAAAUCCAUUGAGGAAUACGUUUUUGUAAAUCUGGUAAUGCUUGCUCUUCCAUGCACUUUGGUGGCUUUAAAUAGAAGUGGCCAACUUGUUCUUUCAAGAACAAUUAGUUCUUGAGUGGAGCGUAGAAGUCGGUGUGAGCGUAGUGGAUUGUUAACUUAGUUCUUGCUCGGUUAUGUGUCAAAAAGUUGGUUAAUAUAUGGAUCAAGGAUGACAGUAUAAACAGUGUAAGCAUGGAUCAUACUCUUUCCUCUUUGUUUUUAGCUCAGACUGGUUUAUGUGAAGAGCAUAGACGGGAAGUUUAAACCUUCUAAGUGGGAUCAUACUGUUGUGACUGAGUUUUGGAUCAAUUUUGUGUUUAGACAUUGUUUCAUAUGCAAGCAUUAAGUAUAGAAUGACACUUCAGGCAUUGUAAAAGUAGAUCAUGCCUUUUUUUGGGGAUCCGUUAUGUAUUAAUAUAAUCAUGGUAUUCUUUGUACUGUGUUUAUCUGCGAUGGACAAGGACCGUCUUAAUUAAAUUAUGAACUCUGCUUGAUCAUAAUGUAGAACUUGAGUCUCUUUUAACUUAAGGUAUUGUCAACCGUAAUUUAUCGCAGAACAAGAUAAGGUUAAGGAGUCUAUAGAUGAUUAUGAAAAAGAUGAACAAUUAGAGCUGGAGGAUAAUGAAGCUGAGUAUGAACCUGAAGAAGAUGGUGGGGUUGAUUAUGAUGAGAAGGAAAUGGAACAAGAGGAUAUCCAGGAGCUCGGGGAUGAAGGAGAUGAAGAACCUGAGGAGAUUGUAGGUGAAGAAGAAGGUGAUAUGGCUGAGGAAGAGUUGGAAGAUGGCCACGAAGAACUCGAGGGUGAAGAGUUUGAGGAGCAUGCUAGCGAGGAGCAUGAGCAUGAGCAUGCAGAGAUGGUUGACGAGGAAGAGGAGCACCAUGAAGUUGUAAAGGAGAGACGGAAGCGCAAGGAGUUUGAAGUAUUUGUUGGUGGUCUAGACAAGGAUGCAAGUGAGGCUGAUCUUAGGAAAGCUUUUGCUGGUGUUGGUGAAGUUACUGAGGUCAGGCUGAUGAUGAACCCUCAGACUAAGAAGAACAAGGGAUUUGCGUUCUUGCGUUUUGCAACUGUGGAACAAGCAAGGCGAGCAGUUGCGGAGCUUAAACAUCCAGUGGUAAUCUUUGAUCCUUUCGUAGUUCGAGCAGAAACUGGUUUCUUCAUAUAUUAAAUUCUAUUCUCUGAAUGAUUGCAAUUCCAGAUUAAUGGAAAACAGUGUGGUGUUACUCCAAGUCAAGACAGUGAUACUCUUUUUCUGGGUAACAUAUGCAAGACAUGGACAAAGGAUGCUGUAAGUAUAUUGGCUUACAUCAUUUCAAAAUUCUCUGACUUAUCAGGAGAUGAUUAAAAAUUUCUGACUUCUUUUGAUGGCUGUGGUUUCAGUUGAGAGAGAAGUUGAAACAUUAUGGAGUAGAUAAUGUUGAGGGUCUGACAUUGGUUGAAGAUACUAACUAUGAGGGAAUGAAUCGAGGCUUUGCUUUUUUGGAAUUUUCUUCUCGUUCAGAUGCCAUGGAUGCUUUUAAGCGACUUCAAAAAAGAGAUAUUGUGUUUGGAGUUGAUAGGCCUGCAAAAGUUUCUUUUGCAGAUUCCUUCAUUGAUCCUGGUGAUGAAAUCAUGGCACAGGUAACGUAAAUUUUCUGCUAUAUUAUAGGAACAAUAGGAUUCCUGGAUGGGUUAUCUUUCUGAUGAUCUGUUCUUGUGUUUUGGUGUAUGAACGUAUACAAAGGUCCUUGUAACAUCAAUUUUUUCCAUGAGUGUAUGGAGUCCUGGAUAAAUUCUCUGUUGUGCUCUUUUUUUAUGUUAUGGGAGAUGAUAGAGUUACAAUAUGCCCAUUGAUGUUCUCUUGUACAAGUAAUUUUUCUAGUUUGUUGACAAAUUAGCAUAUAGCACCUGUAACAUGUUGAAUUAGAUUCUUUGGAGUUGUUUUUUGGGUAGCAUUAUCUUAAUUUCGUGUUACUUGUUUUCUAAAAUCUUGUUAAUCUUUUCUCCUCAAUUGACUAUGAUAAAGUUAGUUAAGUAUGGGAAAGCAAUUGUGAUUGUGUUUCUUUGAUAUAGUGUUAUUAUGCAGUUUAGAGGAGUUUAGGUGAUUGUUGGAGCUGCUGACUAAAUAUCUUGAGAUGCAGGUCAAAACUGUGUUUGUUGAUGGCCUACCUGCUUCAUGGGAUGAGGACCAUGUCCAAGAUCUUCUUAAGGAAUAUGGGAAUGUUGAAAAGAUUGAGCUUGCGCGGAACAUGCCCUCUGCUAAGAGGAGAGAUUUUGGUUUUGUUACAUUCGACACUCAUGAGGCUGCAGUUACGUGUGCUAAAAGCAUUAACAAUUCAGAGUUAGGUGAAGGAGACAACAAGGUGUGUUGGCUGGUAACAGUUAUUUCAAAAUUAGACAUUACCGAUGAAAGUAUUUUAUGUAUUGGCAUUUGUUGGACAUGAAUUUAUGAAUAAUCAUCGUCACUUUUAGGCGAAAGUCAGGGCGAGGUUAUCAAGACCGCUCCAGAGGGGUAAAGGAAAACAUGUUGGGCGAGGAGAUUAUCGAUCUUCUAGGGGGGUUGGACGAGUUGUUAGAGGUUCAUGGGGUCACCCAGCACCACGCCCUCUCCCUCCUAUGCGUAGUGGGUUAAGGGGAGUUGGAAGUCGAAUCCCACCAGCCAGUGUAAAGAGGCCUGUUGCGCUAAGAGAUAGACGCCAUGUGAUGUCAUCUUAUCCACAAAGAGGCAGGCCUUUGCCUCCUCCAUCUAGGUCCUAUGACAGGAGGCCACCUGGUAUGCAAUAUUUUAAUUUAUAAUGGCUAAUGGGUUGUGUGACAACUUUUAUCUUGUGAAUAAUAAUAUUCCUAUACUCUUUCUAACAGUUCCUGCGUACCCAAAGAGUAGCUUCAGGAGGGAAUAUAGCAGGCAUGAGGACCUUCCUCCUCCAAGGAGUAGAGCAGCCCCUGAUUAUGGAUCAAGGGCUGUUCCAGAAAGACGCCAAUCGUACAGAGAUGAUUACGCUCAGCGUGGUCCUGCCUACUCUGAUCCACCAAGAAGUACAUCUCGUACAACAGGAAGGAGAGCUUAUGUUGAUGAAGGUUACGGACAGCGGUAUGAAAGGCAUCCUCCCCCUCCUCCUCCUCCAAGUUACCGUGAAGGUCGUGCUCGUGAUUAUGACACUAUUUCUGGUUCAAAACGUGCCUACUCUGCACUGGUUAGUGUUAAUGACGUCAUUUUCUAUAGCUGGAAAUGUAAUUUACUUGGUUUUCUCUGGUAGGAUAUGAAAUAGGGCUUACAUUCUUCUUCCAUGUGUUCUAGGAUGAUGUUCCUCCCCGUUAUGCUGAUGCGGGCAUCCGCCAAUCAAGGGCACGGUUAGACUAUGAGUAUGAAAGUGGUUCGUCUCAAUAUGGUGAUGGCUAUAGUGACAGGUUUGUUCCUUGAAUUGUAACAUUAACUUUUUAUUAUCUCGUGUGGAUGCAGCAACUUACCUUUUGUUGUGUAUGAUAGACUUGGGAGAUCUAAUAUGGGAUAUGGAAGCAGCAGAACAAGUCAGGAUUCUCAUGGACUAUACAGCAGUCGUCAGGGCAUGGGCUAUGGAGGAGGUGCGAUUGUAAUUUCUGGUUAUCUGAUAGAUAGUAGUUUUAUUGUUGAAACCAUAGAAUUAAGGGUCUUAAGGUUUUUUAAUUUCUUUUUCAGGUUCUUAUGGUGGUAGUGACGUUGGUGGAAUGUACUCAUCCAGCUAUGGUGGUGAUUAUAUCUCUCGUGGCAGUGACGUAUGCACCUAAUCUGAUUUGAUUAAAUGAAAAUAAUAGGUGUUCCAUUUAGCUGUCUCAUAUAUCAUUAUAUCUUGAUUCUCUAUUGUAGGUUGGAGGUAGCUCUUACUCAUCAAUGUACUCUGGCCGUGGUGCGGGUGGAAGCAGUUAUAUGGGUUCAGGUGGUUCUGGCUCAUACUAUUGAGGUAAUUUAGAUUGUUGUGUUUUUCAUGUUUUGUUAAGUUUCAUGUGUGUGUAAUUAUGAGAGCGAUGCGUGUGUCAUUAUUACUAUUUUCCGGCUGGAGAUUUAUUUUCUUCCGAAGGCACGACAUCUCGUCUUUGGCUCUAAGAGGUCAUUGGUGAAAACAGAGCAAUAUAUGGUUACAAGUGAAUUUGUCUAUGGAACAGAUCUGACAUGAUGAAGAGGAUGCUGUGGGAUGUGGACUGUAUGAAGCUUUUUACCAUUAUGAUGCCUAGAGUUAUGGACACAGAAUUUCCCUAAGAACCUAUGUAUGUGCUGAGGAGCCGCCCUCUUAGAUUUCCAGAGAUUGGAUAUUGUGCCAGGCUGUAGUUAUUUUGCUGCAAGGAAACUCAAGAUAUUCGGAGAUGCAAGUGCUUAGUUUAUGACGUGUCUUCUACUUCAUCUACUAGAAGAACUCCACCUGACGGAAAAUUUGGAGUCCUGCUGCAUCCUUUGUUCGUAUGAAUAGAUAAGACUAUAACAAGAGAAAGAGGAUUUUCUUAAUGUGAUUAUAAGGUAUUUUGGAUAUUUUUAAUGCUGAAUCCUUUGGAAAGGUUUGAAUAAUAAAAGCCGUUUUGGCCGUUUUAGAUCGCUUAAUCAAUUCAGUUCCAUAUCGUUGAGUGGGUUAUCACGGAACUGAAGGCUAUAAGGAAAGAUUCAGCUUGCUUGGAAUUGUACGAGAUUGUGGUCCAAAAAGGUAGACCUGGAAUCUGUUGCCUGGUGUGUACAGUUUUAGUUACCGCGUGAUUUAAAUUUGCAUUUUUGACAUAUAUAUUGAUAUUUAAGGAAACAUAUUGGGAAAUUACAAAGAAGAAUGAGUAGGACUCUAGUUCAUAAAAUUAUCUUACAUUGCUUGCUAAAAUCUCGAUUGAAGUAUUAUUCUUAAGUUCCUUGCAACCUCUACCAAGAACUGUGAGAGUCACCUGAGAGCAAAAGUAGGACUGAAAAACACUGAAAGAACACUCUUGCUACUGUUAUCUGGAUUGCAGAAAGUCGGUAUUUGUAAAGAAGGGAUGCAAUUGGCAAGUAUUCCACUUUGUAGAAGCACGUCUUAAUGUGGAAUAUCCCAUACUAAGUGUGGGUGGAUCACUUUGGCACGUUCACGGAGUCUAAAAGUUGGUUGUAUCUUUACGAGCAAUUCUCGCAGAUUAAAAGCUUGUGGAACUUGGAGGUAACUAGUACCUGAGUUGAGUCCUUGUCCUUGUAUUGUUCAUUAGGGCUUGUUAUGGUCAAGAUAGCUUAAAUCUUCUCAAAUCCUUUCGAUCAACUCAUUUUGAUUGCUUUAGCGUAUCCAAGGACUAGUUGCUGGUUGGAAGUUGUUUCACUUGAGCGGUUUUACUUUGAUAUGCUUUUGAUACAUGCCAGUAUCCUAUCGAUGUUCGGAUGCAACUGAAUGCUGGAUUGAAUUUUAAUGGGGUGCCAUAUACUUUUUGUUAUUCGUGUUCACUAGUGAAAUACGACAACCUGAUUGUGUGGAAAACCUAGACAGUCCUCGUUGUAAUGGGCAACGUAUUGUAUUUGGUAUAAAAUUUGCAGGACUCUCUCUCUAUCUCUCUCUCUCUCUCUCUCUCUCUCUCUCUCUCUCUCUCUAGAUUGGGAUUGGGAUUGUGAUUGUGAUUGUUCUAAAGGAAGAAUGGUUGGAUGUGUUUUUUUGUACAGGUAAAAUAAGAAUUUAAUGAAUGAAACCUAAAUACCGCGCCUUCUGGUGCGAGUCAUCCAGUAAAAUGAGAAAUUCAUUGUCAUUGUAAAACUGAAGGACGUUAAACAUACUAGUCGUAUAUAAACCACAAUUUUUGCGCGUCUUGUACGCUUAUCUAGUUCUAUUUCGAAAUUUUGUAGUCAAGUUUGUAAUCGCUUCUAUUUUUGGAUUGUCCUCUUGGAAACCUUAACAAACCUUCGAUGGCUUAAUGUAGAGCAGCAAUUAAGAUUUGGUAAUAAACACUCCUGCUUGGGUUUUAGACGUAGGAAAAAGAACUGCUUUAAACAAUUGAAAAAAAAAGUAUUUAAGUAACAAUCUCUAAAUCGAACCUAAGAUCUCUCACUUACAAGUGAAAAGGAAUAUCACUAGACCGUAGUACUAAGGGACUGUUAUCUUAGAUGCAAAGCGUUCAUCUUCUAUAUAUAGGGAGCACACCAGUUUUGUGAAGCUUUUAUAAUAGGAAGCUUUAUAUAUAGAGAUAAAAACUUUCAUUAUAUUUUAAGGAAUUCCAUUAGUUUUUAAAUAUGUCAAAGAGAGACAAAAAUAUAAAAAUGACUAAAGCGUAGCCCAAAAACAUGGAAACAAUAUUUUAAAAUACCAGUCAUACCCCUAAGGCUUUAGGAUUGUUAAAAGAACCUAGCCUUCACAACUCCAACAAAACUAAUUGUGCAGUAAGCUCAAUCCAUCAUCAACUAUUUCUGCAGAAUUAGUUCAACCUGUCCUUAACAAUUUUUGCAGAAUCAGUUCCAUCUAUCCCAACCAUUUUUGUAGAAUCAGUUCAAUCACUCUUUGACCAUUUUUGCAAAUUUGUUCAACCCUUCAUCGAUUAUUUUUGCAGAAUCAAUUCAAUCGGUAUUCAACAAUUUUUGCAGAAUUAGUCACCCAUCCUCGAUUAUUUUUACAAAAUCAGUUCAACCCGUCAUCGACCAUUUUUGCAGAAUCAAUUUAAUUAGUCUUCAAUUAUUUUUGCAGAAUCAGUUCAACUUGUCAUUGAUCAUUUUUGCAGAAUUAGUUCAAUCAGUCAUCGACUAUUUUUGCAGAAUCAGUUCUACCCGUCUUCGAUUAUUUUUACAUAAUCAAUUUCACUUGUCUUCGACCAUUUUUGCAAAAUCAGUUCAACUGGGUCGACGUCUGCUACUUCAAGAUUAAGGACUUGGCCGAGAAGUUUGCCAUCCUUCACUUUGGUAUUUGCCCCUUUCGUUGGGACUUCUUUAGGGGUUCUUGAUUGCUCAUCCAUAUGGGUCUUUUGCUUCUCCUUUCUGGUUUUUUGUUUCUGCUCUGUAUAACUGUCAAUAAAGUGAAGCAGAAAAUAAAGUACAAAAAUUUAGGAAUUUGCACCUGCAACACGACUCAGACAUCGAAUCAAUGAAAGAAGAGAGAAAUUAGAACAAAAUUGAAUUGGGUGUUGGAGGCUUCUCGUCGAUUGCCAAUCUUUCAAGCUCUGCUCCAACUUCCUCUUCGGCCUAAUAUUAAGAGAGGAAGAAAGAGAAGGGAGGAACAGAUGAAGAGAUGGAAUUGUGAAAAGACUUUACCACUAUAAAUAGCACUUUUGUAACUGACACUCUAAAAAGAAAAAGACUAAUGUCAUCUUUUACAUGUAUUAACUUUUAUCCCUCUUAAAAUGUUUAAAAAAUAUUAUCUCAAUUUAAAAUUAACUUUCCAUAUGUGGACUAAACUUGUGAUUUUCGAAUUGCGUCUAACUUUUUCAUUUAUAAUUUUCCUAACUUAAAAGUUUGAAAUAUCAAAUUUACACAUGCAUUUGCCAAUGUAAAUAAUUUUCGAAGUGCCUCACGUGCCCUGCCCACUGCCCAAGUGUUAUACAAAUUAUUUUCCAUUUUUGACCUAGCUGGGAUCAACAGUGUUUUCAUCAUAUGACUAAGCUGUAAUUUACAAUAUUUUCUUAACAAAACUAAUGAAAAAAGUUUGAAAACUUUGCGUUUUAAUGAUAACGACAAAAUAAAGGGUAAAGUGAAUAGUACCAGAAUUGACUUUAAAAAGUGUACUUUAACGAAAAACUCCUAAUACUGUUCAUUUUUUAUACUUUUUAUACUUAAUUUUGUAUUAAGAUAGCAGUUUUUAAACAUUUCAAGAAAAAAUAAAACUUAAUACAUGUGUAAGAUGAUAUUAUUGGUUUUAUUUUUCUUUGAAGUGUGAGUUAACAAAAUGGCCUUUAUACAAUAAAUCAACCGUUGAGAUUUAAUUCUAGCAAAACAAUUGCAAACUCCAUCAUGCCAACCAAAAAGCUCCACCGCUUCCCUCUGCCAUCUUAUCCACUCAUAUGUUCCAUGGCUGCUUCUGCAUCAACCCAAAUGCUCUGUCCUCUUCCACCAUCCAUGUGGGUUCAUCGCCAUCUGAUAACCAGUCAGAAAAAUUGGUUGGUUUCUGACCUAUUAUCAUUUUAUUUCCUCUAAAUAGUAAAUUUAUUAAUUUUGUAAAAAAAAAGAGGAAAUUUUAACGAAAAAAAACUCUCGGUAAUGUCCACUCUAAUGAAAAAUUAUAUUUUUACACUAAAAAGUCAAUCAUAUACUAUUCAUUUUACCCUUUAUUUUGUUUUUAUCAUUAAAACUCAAAGUUUUUAAUCUCUUUUCAUUAGUUUUCAUUUUAAAGAAAGCUUUAAUUUUUUAUCAAACGAUAGAUUUUGUUAGUAAGUUAAUUAUUUUUCAAAAUAUAAUAAUAAAGCAUAAUAAUAUCUAAACUAAAUAAAAUUAAAACCAAAAACAAAAAGGUAAAAUAAUAUAAAAGAACCAUAUAAUGAAGGGUUGAUCUUCCCAAUUCCCAACAACAUAAAAGUUAUAGCUUAUUUCAAACUAUACCCCUAAUGUUUGGGGUCAAUUACAAAAAGGACUCCUCUUUUCAAUUUACUACUUAAGAUUCACAAACAAAUAAAAAUAAAAAAAAUUAAUACUUAAGGUUGUAAAGUUUUGGGGAACUGCCAAAUUAGGGCUAUAAAAUCUCCAAUUUUGGAGUCAUAUUGAAUCAUGCAAUAUUAUUUUGAAGCCAAUUUGAUUCUAGUAUGCCUUAUAAAGUAACGUAGGUGGUGUAUUUCAACAGUUCAAAGAGACAUGUGGUAAAAAAUAAAAAUUAAAAGUUCAAGUGGUAUUGUAGACAUUGAAAUUUUGGUGGCAUAAAUGUUAGCGCUUGCAUUAAGAUUACAUUUGUAAACAUUGAAAUUUUAGUGAAAUAAAUGUUGACCAUUGUGUUAAAACUACAACCUUCAUCCAAAUUCACCUACAACCCCCACCCAAAUUCACCUACAACAACCAAUCCAAAUUCACCUACAACCUCCACCCAAAUUCACCUACAACAAUCCAUCCAAAUUCACCUACAACCUCAACCCAAAUUCACCUACAACAAUCCACCAAUUCACCUACAACAUACACCAAAACAAAUGGAUGGUGGUGGUUCAUUCUCAAGGCCUAUAAAUAGGCUCCUCCAUCAAAGAAUCAAAGGAGGAUUUUAGAUACACUUUCUCUACUCCCAAAUUGGAAGAGAAAUCACACCACACCAAAGCCUUGAAGCCUCGAAACUCUGAAGCUCUCAAGUAAAUCCCGAAGGAUCAAGAAAGCCCUAUCUGUUCUUCGUGAAAUCCUCCUUCAAGAUCAAGCUCCAACGCCCCUUGAAGAACUUCCACCCAUUCAAGAUCAAGCCCCGACGGCCCUUGAAGAAGGUGUUCAUCAUUCAUCAACUGUUCGUCCAAGAUCAAGCCUCGACGGCCCUUGGAUCAACAACACUACAUCUACACGUUUCAAAGAUAGAAUCAGAGGAUAAAUUUGUAGAAGAGAUUGUAACCCCUAAAUCAUUAAUACAAAUAUUAUUUUGGACACGUGUUCUUGUCUCUUUCGUUUCAGGAAUUUCCGUGUUUACAAAUUUGGCACGCCCGGUGGGACAGUCUCUACCUCUCAUCUCUAUCUUUGAAUCCGCAACAAGCACAAAUGGCGUCAAGGAAGGCCCAAGUUGUUCUCGCUGCCAAUGCAAGAAACAAGAGCGUCAUCACGACAGGGGGCAUCACUUCAGGCAUCAUAACUCGAAGUAAGGCAAAAGCUCUUUCCGCCGCCUCUUCCGCCCCUUCAUCAACUCCGCCGAAGGCACAAGAGCACCCGAGGUUCGAACCGGUGAUCACCCUGGCCUCGCUCAGGGCGCCAAGAGAGGAAAGCCAGAGGAAGUACUCUGAAUCCUUACUUUCCGAUGCCGACUCGAGCAGCGGCAUAGCUAUGCAAGUCAUGGUUACCGGAACAACUUCAAUUGAGGAGCAGCUGGCUCAGAUGAACGAAGCAAUCGCAAAGCUCACAAGGACUGUGGAGGAAAAAGACCUGCAAAUCGCAGCACUUGUUAACCAACUAGAUGCAAAGCCCGAUGAGAAAGCCAGGCAAGGGGAUAAUCCGGUAAAGAAGGAAAACGACGAGGAUGAGGAACCUCCAGUGGAGAACGUCGAAGAGACGCUGAAGCUAGACCAAGCGGCGACACUCAUGGGGUCUCUCUCUCUAUCCAGCAGCUGCAGGAGAUGAUCGCCAACACCAUCAAGGCGCAGUAUGAAGGAAGCUCACAUGAUUCCGUACUAUACUCAAAGCCCUACUCCAAGAAGAUUGACGCUUUGAAGAUGCCAAAGGGCUAUCAACCACCAAAGUUUAUGCAGUUCGAUGGAAAGGGGAACCCGAAGCAACAUAUCGCCCACUUCAUUGAAACCUGCAGCAAUGCUGGAACAGAGGGAGACUACCUCGUCAAGCAGUUCGUGCGCUCGCUGAAAAGCAACGCCUUUGACUGGUACACCGACCUCGAGCCCGAGUCUAUCAGCAGUUGGGAUCAGCUAGAAAAGGAAUUCCUCAACCGUUUCUACAGCACGCGCCGCACCGUAAGCAUGCUGGAGCUGACCAGUACGAAACAGUGGAAGGAGGAACCCGUCGUCGACUACAUCAAUAGAUGGCGUUCAUUAAGUCUGGAUUGCAAAGAUCGGCUCUCUGAAACCUCUGCCAUUGAGAUGUGUGUUCAAGGCAUGCACUGGGGGUUACAUUACAUUCUCCAAGGCAUAAAACCAAGAACGUUUGAGGAGCUGGCAACGCGCUCCCACGACAUGGAGCUGAGUAUCGCCAAUCACGGAAAGAAUGAGCCGAUCACCCACUUCAAGAAGGAUAAGGUGUUCGCCCCGAGUGUGGACAAGACCGGAAAAAAGCCUGCAAAGGAAACUUUUACUGUCAACACUACCCCCAUCAAAACCCCAUCCGCGCCUAUCAAGACCACCUCUGCACCUAUCAAGAUUUCCUCCAAGACCAAGGCAAAGGAGACAAAAAGAAGUGAGCCUCCUCGCACCCAAGACAAGUAUAAAAACACCUUGAGAGAGUUGGAGCAAAAGACGUACCCUUUUCCUGACUCAGACGUGGAUGCAAUGUGUUAGAUGACUUGCUGGAAAAGAAGGUAAUUGAGUUACCAGAGUGCAAGCGCCCUGAAGAAAUGAAUCGAACGAACGAUCCUAGGUACUGCAAGUACCAUCGUAUCGUAAGCCAUCAUGUGGGCAAAUGCUUCGUCCUCAAAGAACUCAUUAUGAAGCUAGCGCAACAAGGGAGAAUCGAGCUAGACCUUGAGGACACAGCCGCAACACAUACUACUACAGUGGCGUUCGGAUCCUUCGAUCCCGUGCCUCUCCAAACGACACCCAACCAUUCCUAUCAAUGUGCAAGCUACACGGCGCCUUCUACACAACCAUCGCCGGGGGCAAACGAACAAGAUGCGUAUACCGAUGAUGAUGAAGGAUGGACAUUGGUGACCUACAAAAAAACAAAGAAACCAAAACCACAAGCCACAAGACCAAAGGUGGAACAAGUGAGAAAACACCGUCGCCGCAACAGUAGGAAGCCUAAAAGAAACGUAAAAGUCGAUAAGCCAACGUAUGCUGGGGAACCCGUGGAGCAAGAGCCACGCAUUCCUGUCUCCUUGCGCGAGUACUUCCCGAAUGACUUCUUCCAACAGUGCACCAUCGCUGCAUGCCAUAUGGUCGAAGUAGAAACGGAAGAACCUUCAAAAAGCAAAGAUACCACCACUGAGGGAGAAAAAACUCUCACGCUCGAAGAAGGUCUGCCAACACACUUUAGCAUUGAGGAAGCGCUACGAUUACCAAAGAAGAUGCGAAUAGCAUUAGCAGCGGCCUUGGAAAGUCCCAAUGAACAUGAAGUGCAAGAAAGCAAAGAACGAAGACUUGAAGCUUCGGCCACAUGAAUGUGCCACAUGUUGUGCCAUAGAGGACGCAAUCCAUUUCACCGACGAAGACUUGCUGCUAGGAUCCAAGCCUCACAACCGUCCUCUCUUCGUCUCUGGGUAUGUAAAGGAGCACACAAAGUCAACCGCAUGCUUGUGGAUGGUGGAUCAGCCAUAAACAUCAUGCCAAAGUCGACAAUGAUUACAAUCGGCAUCAAGGCGGAUGAACUGUCCCUAAGUCGUCUACUAAUCCAAGGUUUUAAUCAAGGAGGACAAAAGAGCGAUGGGCAUGAUCCGAGUGGAGAUGACUAUUGGCGAACUCAAGUCGAGCACGAUAUUCCACGUGAUUGAUGCAAGAACUUCCUACGGCUUACUCUUAGGAAGGCCUUGGAUCCAUGCGAAUGGAGUAGUACCGUCCACCCUUCACCAAUGCUUAAAAUUCUACCGAGAAGGAGUGAAGGUGAUCUAUGGCGACACCAAACCAUUCACUGAAGCCGAAUCACAUUUCGCAGACGCCAAGUUCUACAUGGAUGAAGACAUGGUGCCCGAAGCUCUUCCAAAAGAGAUCAAAUCCACGGGCAAAGCAACACCUAAAAAAGCAGGAACGACAAGCCAUGCCCAAGAAGCAAGAAGAAGAAGUUACGCCGUCUUCAAGCAAGAACGAUAAUGAGCCGGCUAAACGUGCAACAACAAAGGAGAGUAAGACGCCCUCAAAUGGACCAAACACACCCGUCUUCCGAUACAUCCCGAUGUCGAGAAGAAAGAAUGGUCAAUCCCCGUUCGAAACUGGAGCAAACAAAGCCGAUGCACAGAGGUAUAUGGAUAAUGUAAAGUUGCUCAAGACGAAUGCAGUUUUACCUCUGACGCAGCUAGGCGGCACUAAGGUCGCAAGACUACCACAAGGCUUCAUAAAAGCUCUACCAAAGGGGGUGGAACCAAGCUUUCUCCCAACCCAGAGGACCGAAGAAGGUUUUGAUCCAAACGCCUAUAAACUCAUGUCGAAAGCUGGCUACGACUUUGCUUCUUCUUCGAAUCAUGGAAAGAAGGUUUCAAACACCGUUAACAAUAAAGAAACGUGACCUCACCGAGACUCAAAGGAAGUUGAAGAAGCACGGUUACGGAGUUGAUAACAACAAAAGCUGGACUAGGCUUCACACCAAACGCACCCGUGAAGAUUUCAAGCAAAGCGAAAAAUGCUAGCACUCAACACAUCAGCGUGAGUAAUGAACAAGAUCAUGAUGAGCCUAAAUCCACCCCUUGGACGUCAGUCUUCGAUAGGAUGAAUCGUUCAAAACCCAGAAUGUCAGCAUUUAACCGCAUUGGUGGUCAAAACCGAACCUCCGUCUUCAAGAGACUUAACAUGCUAGCAUCCCAAAGCUCUGUUUUUGAAAGGUUGUCAAAACCUAAGAAGCAAAGCAACACGACUAGCUCUCUUCCUCGUCAGUCAGCUUUGGAAAGACUUGAAGACAACAAGAAGUUUUCUAGAAAUAGGAAGACCACGUCAAAGGAAGAAAAGCUCGUCAUGAUAGCAGAAAAAUGUGAUAUUCGAAGCUCAAUUCCUUCAAGGAUGAAGCGCCAAGCAAUCUUUGGAGGUGGACACAAAUGGACCACUAAAAGUAAGAAGGCGCACCAUCAUCCACACUGGACAAUCUUCAUGCCGACCAGCCCAAGAGGACGACACCGAAGAGGAAUUCCAAGAUGUCUUCCACAUCACGAUCCAAGAAAGCGAAGAAGAAUGAGAUCCCCGAAGAAGGUGUCACUGCUGCGCCACCACAACUGGAGGAUGGGGGGCAAUCCACAGUCGAUGAUCUCAAGGAACUCAAACUUAGGCAAAGAGGAGCAGAGACCUAUCUUCGUGAGUGCGUUGCUAAGUGCGGACGAGGUAGACGAGUAUUACCAACUGUUAUCAGAGUACAAAGACGUCUUUGCUUGGACUUACAAGGAAAUGCCCGGCCUUGACCCUGUCAUCGCUGUACAUCAUCUUGCAGUUAAGCCCGGAACGAGACCAAUAAAGCAAACUCAAAGGCGCUAUCGAUCCGAGCUCAUUCCACAAAUUGAGGUAGAGAUUGACAAGCUAAUCGAAGCAGGCUUCAUUCGAGAGGUGCAAUACCCUAAGUGGAUCUCCAACAUCGUCAUCGUCCUUAAGAAAUCUGGACAAAUACGUGUUUGUGUAGACUUUCGGGACCUCAAUGACGCUUGCCCGAAAGAUGACUUUCCCUUGCCGAUCAUCGAAAUCAUGGUGGACGCGACCACUGGCCAUGAGGCACUGUCAUUUAUGGACGGCUCUUCUGGAUACAAUCAAAUUCGUAUGGCUCUCGAAGAUGAGGAACUAACAGCAUUCCGCACUCCAAAAGGUAUCUACUGCUACAAGGUGAUGCCCUUUGGUCUAAAGAACGCUGGAGCCACAUAUCAGCGAGCAAUGCAGAAAAUCUUCAAUGACAUGCUACACAAAAACGUAGAAUGUUAUGUAGACGAUGUGGUGGUCAAAACAAAGAAAAGAUCAGAUCACUUGAAGGAUUUGCGAGUAGUGUUCGAAAGGCUGCGAAAAUACAACCUUGAACCGUUAAAAUGUGCAUUUGGCGUCACCUCAGGAAAGUUUCUCGGCUUCGUUGUCAAGCACCGUGGCAUUGAAGUGGACCAAUCAAAGAUCAAGGCCAUUCGAAACAAUGCCCGAGCCAAGAAACCUGCACGAGCUGAAAAGUCUACAAGGACGACUAGCCUUCAUCAGACGCUUCAUCUCCAACCUUGCAGGGCGUUGUCAACCGUUUAGUCGACUCAUGAAAAAGGAUGUCCCGUUCGUAUGGGACGAAGCGUGCCACAACGCUUUUGAAAGCAUAAAAAAAUAUUUAUCAAGUCCACCUGUCCUGGGGGCGCCUGUGCCCGGGAAACCACUCAUAUUGUACAUCGCCGCUCAGGAAAGUUCAGUGGGAGCACUCUUGGCACAGGAAAAUGAAUUCCAGAAAGAAGGAGCGCUUUACUACUUGAGUCGAACACUCACCGGCGCUGAGUUGAACUACUCCCCAAUAGAAAAAAUGUGCCUUGCCUUGGUGUUUGCCAUCCAGAAGCUUAGACAUUACAUGCAUGCUUACACCAUCCACUUGGUUGCUAAAGCUGACCCGGUUAAAUACGUCAUGUCCAAGCCAGUUUUGACAGGGCGACUAGCUAAAUGGGCGUUGAUUCUCAAUCAAUACGAGAUCAUUUACGUCCCAGCUAAAGCCGUCAAGGGACAAGCAUUUAGCAGACUUCCUUGCCGAUCAUCCAAUCCCAGCCGAUUGGAAAAUCUCAGACGACUUGCCUGACGAGGAGGGUAUUCUACAUUGACAUAUUCCCGAGAUGGACGAUGUUCUUCGACGGAUCUGCACGAGCAGACGGAGCGGGGGCAGGAGUAGUAUUCAUGUCGCCACAAAGGCAAAUACUACCUUAUUCAUUCCAACUAAGCGAAUUGUGCUCCAACAACGUCGCUGAGUACCAAGCACUAAUCAUCGGGCUCCAAAUGGCGAUCAACAUGGAAAAUCACAACCCUCGAGGUAUAUGGCGACUCCAAGCUCAUAAUUAGUCAACUCUUGACUGAAUAUGAGGUGAGAAAAGACGAUCUCGUCCCGUACUUCCGACUGGCAACUCAGCUGCUACAAAAGUUCGAGGCCGUAACACUAGAACAUGUGCCGAGAAAAGAAAAUCAAAUGGCAGACGCUCUCGCUAACCUAGCCUCGAGUAUGACACACUAGGAGAAGACGAAGCGGCAGACGUGCCAGUUUGCCAAAGAUGGGUCAUCCCCCUCGCCACCGAAAUGCUACUAGAUGAUACAAAUGUCAUCUCGGUACUUCCAGUCGAUGUUGAAGAAUGGAGACAACCAUUGAUUGACUACUUAGAGUAUGGAAAACUUCCAAAUGAUCCUAGACACCGCUCUGAAAUACGUCGACGAGCACCUCGCUUCCUCUACUACAAAGAAAACACUCUACCGGCGCUCUUUUCGAAGGAGUACUUCUGAGAUGCCUAGGUGAGGAAGAAGCCAAUCAAGCCAUGGAAGAAGCGCACUCAGGCGUGUGCGGGGCGCAUCAAUCUGGACCAAAGCUACAUUUUCCAGCUCAAAAGAAUGGGUUACUACUGGCCAAGUAUGGUGAAGGAUUGCCUGGAACAUGCCAAAAGGUGCCAAGCUUGCCAAUUCCACGCCAACUUCAUACAUCAACCACCUGAACCAUUACACCCUACAACUGCUUCGUGGCCAUUCGAUGCAUGGGGACUGGACGUCGUGGGACCAAUUACUCCAAAGUCAUCUGCAGGAGAAGCCUACAUCCUAGCUGCAACAGAUUACUUUUCCAAGUGGGCUGAAGCCAUACCCCUAAGGGAAGUAAAAAAGGAAACUGUUGUCCGUUUCAUCAAAGAACAUAUCAUCCACAGAUAUGGUGUGCCUCGUUACAUUAAUCACGGACAAUGGAAAACAGUUCUCCAACCGACUUGUAGACGAGCUCUGUGAGAAAUACAAGUUCAAGCAGCAUAAGUCUUCCAUGUAUCAUGCUCCGGCCAACGGUCUAGCGGAAGCAUUCAACAACAAAACAUUGUGCAACCUCUUAAAGAAGGUGAUCGGCCGAACAAAGAGGGACUGGCAUGAAAGAAUAAGCGAAGCACUUUGGGCAAUAUAGGACGACGCAUAGGACUCCUACCCAAGCUACCCCUUAUUCUCUCGUAUAUGGCGUGGAAGCUGUUUUACCGCUAGAAAGUCAAAUCCCUCACACUUAGGAUGGCUAUACAAGAAGGUUUGACUGAUGAAGAGAAUGCAAAGUUGCGCCUUCAAGAGUUGGAAUCACUUGACGAAAGAAGGCUCGAAGCUCAACAACACCUGGAAUGCUACCAAGCACGGCUAUCCAAGGCAUUCAACAAGAAGGUCCGCCCAAGGUCUUUCCAAACUGGAGAUCUCGUCCUUGCAUUACGAAGGCCUAUCAUCACAACUCACAAGACAAAAAGCAAGUUCACAUCAAAGUGGGAUGGACCGUACGUAAUACAAGAGGUCUACAUAAGCGGCGCCUACUUAAUCAUGGCAGAGGACGGCUUGAAGAUCGGUCCCAUCAAUGGCAGAUUCUUGAAGCGUUACUACCCCUAAAAAGCGACGACCAGACUCCUUGCCUGCAUGAGCCUAAACUGCACACGGCACAAAGCUCCUGGCCCGCAAGAGCAUAAACUGUGUACGGCAAAAUCAUCAUCAAAAUCACUAUAAAAAAAAAAUAAAUAAAUUCAUCGCUCAUUUGAACUACGUUGUGACUUGAUCCCUCAUCAACCGGGGGUACGUAGGCAACUUGAAACUUAAAAAAAACUUCAAGUACAGUCACAUCAUCAACAAAAACACAAAUACUUUGAAGAAAUAAAAGAGCAAAUGCAAGAAGGCGAAUACUUCAAAAAAAAAAAAAAAAAAAAAAAAAAAAAAAAAAAAAAAAAAAAAAAAAAAAAAAAAAAAAGAGAAAAACUACUACGGAGGCGAUCUUGAAGCAAGCCUUCCAAAGUCUUCAAAGUCUCCACCUCGGUCGGAGACAAGGUGGGCAAAUCCAUAGCCAGGCCUUUCUCUUGUUCUAGACGUGAGGUCUCCUCAUGGUGCUGAGAAAGUGUAGCUCUCUGUUCUGCAAGAACUUUUUCAAGUUGUGAUGCUUGAGUUCCCAACUGCUCUCGCUCUCGUACCAACGCAUCCAGACGCACCUGGACGGAAGCUAAAGAAGCCUCUGUGACUUGAUAAUCUCCCGAAGCAACUUGCUGAGAAGACCGGACUCUCGGGCCAAGGACAAGUCUAUCGCUGCAAGCUGUUGAGCUCGAUCAUCUGGGCUCAAUUUCUUCAAGGAAAUAGCGCGCAAGGAAGAAUACUCAGUGGAGGCGGCCAUAAGUUCGGCAAUCUUGUUCCUCAAAGACGAAGAAUCAACAUUAAGGUUGUCAAUCGUAGAAACAAGCUUCGACAAAUCUUCUUCGAGCAAUGAAAGGUCUUCCAGCGAACACUUCGAAAUCCUACUCUCAAUAUGGCUUUUUGACAUCCAAGGCAGCACGAAGUUUGAGGCGAUGGAUAAAUUGCUCGGUACCAUUAAGGUUCGGCCCUCUCAAAGAGAUCGCAGAACUAGCUGGCAAAGGUGCUGGACGUAUGAUGGACUCUUGCACGCCUUCACCUACACACGGCAGGCUUGGAAGAUUGGGCGAAUUUUGAACGAGCUCUUCACCGGGCGGAUCCCCGAUCUCCCCGUCUGUAAGCAGAUCGCCUCCAAGUAGCAUAUCCAUAUAGGAGUGAACACCCGCGGCGGCCAAAUCAAAAGGACAAGAAGGCCCCAACCUAAAGAAGACGAAGAGAGGUGUUAGAAGCAAAAGCUGAAAUAAGAAUAAGAAGUCAUGAGAGAGAAAGAAAAUGCAUACAUCUUUCUCUAGAGACACACGACCAUCGGAUUGGGGAGGCCUAAACACUUCUUUCUUUUUAUGACGAAAAUUGACAUCGCUGUCAACCUGAGCAACUUCAAGUGGUCGUUUGUUUAAAACUUGUUGGCGCUGCCGCAAAACAAGUCCAUCUUCAUACGAAUCAACCUCGUCACCCGCCUCUUCAGAAGCAUCCAAAUGGUGAGGAGAUGAGCACAAACGUUGACGGACUAAAGCCACAGGUCUGUCUUGCAAGGGAGUUGCACUCACACAAUCAAAAGGUACCAGCUGCAUAGGAGUCGCAAACUGCCUUCUUUCAACGCAUCGUGGCGUGAAUGGGAAGAAUUAUUACCACUUGCCAUCCCCAAAUCCUCAUGAUGUACCUUUGACCACCAAUGCGCGUAAACACGAGUCACUGGAUUACCCCUGAACUCGUCCUUGGCUGGCAGGGUGAUAUAAGCAUUCGUAAAUGCACGGGUACAAGACUCCCAAUGCAUGCAUAUACACGGCUUGCAAGGAUUCUGAUUGGGCCUUUUCCUUCAGCCUGCCCGGCACAUUUUGGACAAAACCAAAUUGCCUGUAAAACGGCUAAGGAACGGUACGGCUGAACGACGCAUCGGUUUUCUUGCCGCAAAGAAACAUACGCUGAGCGAAGACUUAUGAGAUAAGACAAAUCUGAAGAGCGAAGAUGCGAAUCAUCCAUGAUGCCUCGCCGUACUGAGCCAACUCUCGCCAGGCGGUCCAUUUUUAAACCUUCACAACUUCUAAACAGUGUUUGAGCCUGCGAAUCAUCAAGACUCCUCGCAGAAAGCACACCAGAAUACUUCGUCAUUAAAGGCCCCAACUUGACUGAAGACGGAGAAGAAGGACCUGACUUGUCUAAAGUUGACGAAGAAAAAUGAGUGCCAAAAUACUCACCCAACCAACCAUACACAUAGUGGUAAGGGGAGCACCGCAGCACGAUCUUCAGUGCUUGCCAAGUUUCGAAAAUAACGUUCAAGCCGUCGUAAAUAUUGGCUAAAACUGGAAUAGCAAGACUAAAAGAUUCGCCUACAGCCAUCUUGCUAGCAACUUUGAAGACUCCGGGACGAAUGAAGUUGACAUCAUCCUUGGGGAAAACAAACUUACAGAGCCAACAAGCUAAGAGAGCGGCUAAGUAAGAUUCUUCUAAGUGCUCUGACGCCACGCCACAAUCCUCGAAUGCCUUCAACUCAGCAGAAAGUACGACGAACAGCUGGACCAAUGACACCAGACGGGUCCGAGUCCCCUUAGGCCUGGUUGUCUUGUUACGACCGCUUUUCUUCGAAGGCCUCUUGUACUUCAUGGCAUCCCAAUACCAAAAUUGGAUCCAUGAAGAGAUCUUCACGCCUGACUUACCUGGGGGCCUCUUGGAAAAGCUUAUGGUAUGCCCCAAACAAAUAACGGCAGCUUGCAGGUAAUCCUCGGCUGUUGCGAUAAGAGAAAACUCUUUCCACACUAGGAACAACCUCAUCGUAAAAUUGUCCCUGGAUUGGGCAAGCCCUCCUAUCUUAUGGAGAUCCCAAAGCGAGAUCGACAUCUCCCCUCGAGCCGUAUGAAGUGUGUGUUGGUCGCUGAACACCAAUGCUCGAAGAAUGCACGAAUGACGGAAGGAUGUCGGUCAUAACUGAACAGAGAUGCAUAUACAGCAUGAUAAAGUCCCGUGUUGGUAAGCAUAUCUUUAGAACGGCUCAAGACAUCUUCAAGCCAUUCCCAAUAAAACUCAACAAAGGCGGCUCCUCCAGUAGUCGACAAGGUGCUACUCCAAGCCAUAGCUCCGCUACGGAUACGAUCGCCAAGAAGCUCAAACGAAACCGAAUGAUUGUGUCACGAACAUGGUGCGAAUGGUUCAAGAUAAGACUCAUCGAUGUGCAUGCCUUUUUCUUUGCAUUUAGUCGAACAGAGUCUACCACAUCCCAAGGUACUUCAGAAGACCACGACUUAAUAUGCAUGGAAUUGUCUUUUGCGGGAAGGGCAAGCGCCUUGGGGCCAGGUAAGUGGCGCAUAAAGCUUUAACGUCGUUCCACUAUCCUGUGAAUCGCCUUCCUUUGCAAGAAUGGUGAUAGUGUUGUUUUUUAAAACACUUGAGAAACACCAUGACUGCAACAAAAAAGUCAGCCACAAAACUUGAGCAGGGCGGCAAAGAAGGCAGCUACAGGGCGGGUCCUUCAAAGCACGCUGCAGUGGCAGAGGAAACCAAAAUGCUACGCAAAACUCGCGGCGGAGCCCCGCUGCAGUCUCUUGCACAGCUCCACACGGCAGCGCACCACCGAGGGAAAACUGUGAUCAAAAGGCACUACACGGCAAAAACUUAGUUGCAGUCUCUUGUACAGCCCCACAACGGCAGCGCACCACCGAGGGAAAACUGUAAUCAAAAGACACUACACGGCAAAACUUCGUUGCAGUCUCUUGUACAAGAACACCCACGUCCUGCUCACCCCGCCACUAACUGCAACCACGGGCAAAAGAACCUUUGUCAAAACAACAGUACACCCAUAUUUAUAUUAUUAUAUGGACACAUUACAUAUAUAUACGUAUGUGUGUACGUGUGCACGGCUGGUGUGAUGAGACAAAUCAGCAAUCUUCAUAUAUGUGCGCGUGCGGUGAUGGAACAAAGCAAGGUCAGUGUGUGAACGUGUGUGUGUAUAUAUACACAUGACAAAGCCAUGCAAACAAAGUCUGUGUGUAUGUAUGUAUGUGAAAUGAAAGUCAAAGUUUCUGUGUGUGUGUAUAAGGCACAGCAACAAAUCCCAUAUAUAAAACAUAUAUGCGUACACAGUGAUAAUGACGGGACAAAUCAAUUUCCACAUACAUGUACAUGUGUGCACGGUAUCAAUCACAACCAACUUCCAUAUAUAUGUAUGCAUGCAGAAUGAUGGGACAGCCGCCAGCCAACUUAUAUAAUAUAUAUAUAUAUAUAUAUAUAUAUAUAUAUAUAUAUAUAUAUAUACAUGCAAAGCGACAGGACACUCAACAUAUAUAUAUAUAUAUAUAUAUAUAUAUAUAUAUAUAUAUAUAUAUAUAUAUAUAUAUAUAUAUAUAUAUAUAUAUGUACGUACAACAUGUCAAAAGCAUCUCAGGGUUAUAUAAAUAUAUAUAUAUAUAUAUAUAUAUAUAUAUAUAUAUAUAUAUAUAUAUAUAAGUGUAAGUAUGUGCGGCAUCCAAGAUGAGACAACUAAUCUCAAGGUUGUGUAUAUAUAUAUAAAUAAGUGUAAGUGUGUGCGGCUCCAGGCUAUAUAUAUAAAGGCUUGCUGUGUGCGGUUCCAGGACAUAUAUAUAUAUAAACGCCUGCUGCGUGCGGCUCUGGGACAUAUAUAUAUAUAUAUAUAUGCAUGGUGAUGGGUUAUACAUAUAAACGGACUCACGAAGUAAAAGCUGCAUCCUGCUAGCCGACUGCCUUCUUCUUCCCGUCUGCAGCACUGGUCAUCCCCUCCUCAACGCUUUGCACACCUUAAGCUCCAGCACCGAGACUCCCCUUGUCAAGCUCACUUCUGCAGCCUCAGACCACCGUCUCUGUCCAUCAAUGCGAAGCCAACCCGAACCCGUCGUUCGCCGUCAGGAUCCUCUCUGCUGCAUUUCCUUCCAGCACCGAGCUCAGUAGCAGCAAACGAGGAUCCUCCAGGAACAAUAGGCGCACUGUUAGUAGCAUGAGCAACAGAGGAUGCUACAUAAGAAAGCCCAGUCGACGAAGAUGUAGAGCUGAAAGAGGUAGCAAAAUACAGAGACUUACCAGCUAGCAGACGCGGGGAACGCAGGAAGCAGUGCACGCAGUCGUGAUCGCAGCCAGGUAGUAGCUGUGUGGUGAAUGUGCAGUGCCCUAUGUGUGUAUGUGUGUGCGUAUGCCUAUGUAUAUAUAUACAACGAUCUCAACGGUUGCAAAAGAAACGGAUCCGCAUACGAUGCAGUGACUGUGUAAACAGCAAUCCGCAUGCAGUGAAGAAUGCAGUACAAUAGCUGUUCGCAAACAAUGACCCGCGUGAAGAGAGGAGUGCAGAGAAUAAUGCAGUACAGUAGCUGUGCAAACAGUGAUCUGCGUGAAGAGAGGAGUGCAGAGAAUAAUGCAGUACGGUGACUGUCGCAAACAGUGAUCCGCGUGAAGAGAUGAACGCAGAGAAGAAUGUAGUAUAGUAGCUGUUCAAACAGUGAUCCGUGUGCAGAGAAGAACACAUGAAAAAAAAAAAAAAAAAAAAAAAAAAAAAAAAAAAAAAAAAAUGGUUGCAGUGACUGUGCAAAUAAAAAUGGUACAGAGAAGAAUACGAUGCAGCAAGGAAGACCCGUGCUCUCCACUUCGCUUCCCCUUUGAAGAAUCAUGUUCCUAGUUUCUUAAAUAUACAUAAUAAUAAAAAAAAAAAUGAUGAAAGGUGUUUGGUGCGCAACAUCCAUCAAAACAUAUGUAUACAAAUAGUGAAAUCUUGGUGUAUGGCACUACUCAAAAAAAAAAAAAAAAAAAAAAAAAAAAAAAAAAAAAAAAAAAAAAAAAAAAAAAAAAAAAAAAAAAAAAAAAAAAAAAAAAAAAUUGAAGGAAAGGUGGUGGCGACAAAAUCAUUGAAAGAUGGAAAAAUGGGAAGAAUGGUGCAUCAGGCACCAUCUAAAAGAAAGGUUAUGGGAUGACGCACAACAUCAUUUAAAAAAAA
rnacentral:lncRNA from 1 species